rnacentral:rRNA from 1 species
GCAGUCGAGCGGUAACAGAUCCAGCUUGCUGGAUGCUGACGAGCGGCGGACGGGUGAGUAAUGCAUAGGAAUCUGCCCGAUAGUGGGGGAUAACCUGGGGAAACCCAGGCUAAUACCGCAUACGUCCUACGGGAGAAAGGGGGCUUCGGCUCCCGCUAUCGGAUGAGCCUAUGUCGGAUUAGCUAGUUGGUGAGGUAAAGGCUCACCAAGGCAACGAUCCGUAGCUGGUCUGAGAGGAUGAUCAGCCACAUCGGGACUGAGACACGGCCCGAACUCCUACGGGAGGCAGCAGUGGGGAAUAUUGGACAAUGGGGGCAACCCUGAUCCAGCCAUGCCGCGUGUGUGAAGAAGGCCCUCGGGUUGUAAAGCACUUUCAGCGAGGAAGAACGCCUAGCGGUUAAUACCCGCUAGGAAAGACAUCACUCGCAGAAGAAGCACCGGCUAACUCCGUGCCAGCAGCCGCGGUAAUACGGAGGGUGCAAGCGUUAAUCGGAAUUACUGGGCGUAAAGCGCGCGUAGGUGGCUUGAUAAGCCGGUUGUGAAAGCCCCGGGCUCAACCUGGGAACGGCAUCCGGAACUGUCAAGCUAGAGUGCAGGAGAGGAAGGUAGAAUUCCCGGUGUAGCGGUGAAAUGCGUAGAGAUCGGGAGGAAUACCAGUGGCGAAGGCGGCCUUCUGGACUGACACUGACACUGAGGUGCGAAAGCGUGGGUAGCAAACAGGAUUAGAUACCCUGGUAGUCCACGCCGUAAACGAUGUCGACCAGCCGUUGGGUGCCUAGCGCACUUUGUGGCGAAGUUAACGCGAUAAGUCGACCGCCUGGGGAGUACGGCCGCAAGGUUAAAACUCAAAUGAAUUGACGGGGGCCCGCACAAGCGGUGGAGCAUGUGGUUUAAUUCGA